rnacentral:rRNA from 1 species
GACGAACGCUGGCGGCGUGCUUAACACAUGCAAGUCGAACGGAAAGGCCCUGCUUUUGUGGGGUGCUCGAGUGGCGAACGGGUGAGUAACACGUGAGUAACCUGCCCUUGACUUUGGGAUAACUUCAGGAAACUGGGGCUAAUACCGGAUAGGAGCUCCUGCUGCAUGGUGGGGGUUGGAAAGUUUCGGCGGUUGGGGAUGGACUCGCGGCUGAUCAGCUUGUUGGUGGGGUAGUGGCUUACCAAGGCUUUGACGGGUAGCCGGCCUGAGAGGGUGACCGGCCACAUUGGGACUGAGAUACGGCCCAGACUCCUACGGGAGGCAGCAGUGGGGAUUAGUGCACGAUGGGCGGAAGCCUGAUGCAGCAACGCCGCGUGCGGGAUGACGGCCUUCGGGUUGUAAACCGCUUUCGCCUGUGACGAAGCGUGAGUGACGGUAAUGGGUAAAGAAGCACCGGCUAACUACGUG